rnacentral:rRNA from 1 species
GACGAACGCUGGCGGCGUGCCUAAUACAUGCGAGUUGAGCGCUGAAGGUUGGUACUUGUACCAAUUGGAUGAGCAGCGAACGGGUGAGUAACGCGUGGGGAAUCUGCCUUUGAGCGGGGGACAACAUUUGGAAACGAAUGCUAAUACCGCAUAAAAACUUUAAACACAAGUUUUAAGUUUGAAAGAUGCAAUUGCAUCACUCAAAGAUGAUCCCGCGUUGUAUUAGCUAGUUGGUGAGGUAAAGGCUCACCAAGGCGAUGAUACAUAGCCGACCUGAGAGGGUGAUCGGCCACAUUGGGACUGAGACACGGCCCAAACUCCUACGGGAGGCAGCAGUAGGGAAUCUUCGGCAAUGGACGAAAGUCUGACCGAGCAACGCCGCGUGAGUGAAGAAGGUUUUCGGAUCGUAAAACUCUGUUGGUAGAGAAGAACGUUGGUGAGAGUGGAAAGCUCAUCAAGUGACGGUAACUACCCAGAAAGGGACGGCUAACUACGUG